rnacentral:rRNA from 1 species
UACGCAGGGGGCUAGCGUUAUCCGGAAUUACUGGGCGUAAAGGGUGCGUAGGUGGUUUCUUAAGUCAGAGGUGAAAGGCUACGGCUCAACCGUAGUAAGCCUUUGAAACUGAGGAACUUGAGUGCAGGAGAGGAGAGUAGAAUUCCUAGUGUGGCGGUCAAAUGCGUAGAGAUUAGGCGGAAUGCCAGUUGCGAAGGCGGCUCUCUGGACUGUAACUGACAAUGAGGCACGAAAGAGUGGGGAGCAAACAGG